AUUGAACGCUGGCGGCAGGCCUAACACAUGCAAGUCGAACGGUAGCACAGAGAGCUUGCUCUUGGGUGACGAGUGGCGGACGGGUGAGUAAUGUCUGGGAAACUGCCUGAUGGAGGGGGAUAACUACUGGAAACGGUAGCUAAUACCGCAUAACGUCGCAAGACCAAAGAGGGGGACCUUCGGGCCUCUUGCCAUCAGAUGUGCCCAGAUGGGAUUAGCUAGUAGGUGGGGUAAUGGCUCACCUAGGCGACGAUCCCUAGCUGGUCUGAGAGGCUGACCAGCCACACUGGAACUGAGACACGGUCCAGACUCCUACGGGAGGCAGCAGUGGGGAAUAUUGCACAAUGGGCGCAAGCCUGAUGCAGCCAUGCCGCGUGUAUGAAGAAGGCCUUCGGGUUGUAAAGUACUUUCAGCGAGGAGGAAGGCAUUAAGGUUAAUAACCUUAGUGAUUGACGUUACUCGCAGAAGAAGCACCGGCUAACUCCGUGCCAGCAGCCGCCGUAACAC
rnacentral:rRNA from 1 species